rnacentral:rRNA from 1 species
GACGAACGCUGGCGGCGUGCUUAACACAUGCAAGUCGAACGGAAAGGCCCCUUUGGGGGUCCUCGAGUGGCGAACGGGUGAGUAACACGUGAGUAACCUGCCCUUGACUUCGGGAUAACUUCAGGAAACUGGGGCUAAUACCGGAUAGGAAUCCUUGCUGCAUGGUGGGGGUUGGAAAGCUUCGGCGGUUUUGGAUGGACUCGCGGCUUAUCAGCUUGUUGGUGGGGUAGUGGCUUACCAAGGCUUUGACGGGUAGCCGGCCUGGGAGGGCGACCGGCCACAUUGGGACUGGGAUACGGCCCAGACUCCUACGGGAGGCAGCAGUGGGGAAUAUUGCACAAUGGGCGGAAGCCUGAUGCAGCAACGCCGCGGGCGGGAUGACGGCCUUCGGGUUGUAAACCGCUUUCAGCAGGGGCGAAGCUUGUGGUGACGGUACCUGCAGAAGAAGCACCGGCUAACUACGUG